GUUUGAGGCUUCCAACAUCUAAAUAUUUGUACAACCCACUCAGCUGCAAAGGAGAAAUUUAAUGACAUGCUGUGCUGCGAUUCUCUCGCAGUUUGGUUUCAUUUUGAAAUAUUUGAAGAUGCUCGGAAAAAAGACAACACCUUUCAUGAGUAUUGGUACAUACCUGAGAAUCCAUCUGGGACACUGAUCAUAUAAAGUUUAAAAAUAACAAUAUAGAUUAAAAAAAUGUCAUAGUAUGGUACAAUAAAGUGUCUUAGUAUAGUUUGAUAAAAAUGUCAUAGUGUAGUGUGAUAAAAAAUGUCAUAGUAUAGUACGCUACAAACAUCAUAGUAUAGUAAGAUACAAAUGUCAUUGUAUAGAAUGAUAAAAUUGCCAUUGUAUAAUAUAGUUUAAUAUUAAAAUAUUAAAUUUUAGUAUGAAAGUAUGUCAUAUAUCAUUAAAAAAAGGUCAUAGUCUAGAAUAGUAGGAUAUAAAUGUCAUAUUAUUGGAUGUGAAAAUUUUCAAAUUUUAAUGUAUGAAAAAAAAAAUAUUUUAGUGUGAAAAAAGUCACAGUUUUGUGUAAGAGAAAUGUCAUAAAGUAAGUAAAAUUUCAGAUAUAAGUGUAAAUAAUAUAUAUUAGGUUAAAAAUAAUAUAGUAAAAUAUGCUAAAAAUUUUCAAAUUUAAGUGUGAAAAAAUAUGUCAUAUUUCAGUAAAAAAUGUCACAGUUUAGUAUGAUAACAUUUCAUUAUAUAGUACUUUAAAAAUUUCAAAUUUUAGUAUGACAUUUAUUUUUUCAAAUUUUAGCAUAAAAAAGAUCUCACAGUAUAAUAUGUUAAAAAAUUCAAUUUUGGUAUGAAAAAAAAAUAUGUAUAUUUUAGUGUGAAAAAGUGUCUUAACACUCGUUGAUAAAAGUUUAAAAAUUAAUGUGUUUACAGUUUUAAGAAGGGGAUGGUUUGAUUCAUAAAACAGUGAUGUGUAGGAAGUGAACUCGCACCAGCCACUUCAUAUGUGUGGCGUACGCAUAGACAGCAAGGCCAUUUGUGCUCUUUACAUUGUGGUUCUUGAUGCACUGACUCCUAACUUUAUACAAAUGAGCACAAAGUGGAAUAAAUAAACCCAGAAGACUCCUGUAGUUUUCUAAUUAUCAGCUGAAAAUUAGUUGUCAAUUCAACAAAGGAAGUUAAUGAAAGGCUUUAAAACCCAAAAGUAGGACCCAAACUGUGUCAAGCAAGACUGAUUUCUUAUUCUGAAAUCUCUAAUAUCUAUGGGUGCUUUUGUGAUAGGAGGUCGGCUAAUUCAACAAGAGGGAGCUUUUAGUCUGUUUGCGUUUUUCCCCGACUCUUAAAAAAGGACAUCUUUUAUAAAUGAGGAAAGAAAGGCGAGUAAAAAGGAGAGAAAAGGCAGAAUUCACAAAGGACCUCAUUCAAUACAAAAAUGAAACAUGAGCUAAAAUCUGAGUACAUGUGCGCACACACACACACACACACACACACACACACACUGUCACACACAGCAGAGUUGGGUGCCUGAUAUGGGUGCGUUUAAUAAUUCAGAGCAGAGCCGGGGUCAUAUCUGCGAUGUGUUAUGAGGCUGUAGUCCUCGGGGAGAUGCAGAAGGACAGAUGCAGCAUCGGAGCAGUGAGCAGGCUUUCAGCAGAGCAGAAAAAAAAUCAAUGCUUUGAGGAGUGACUAAUAAACCCCUCCUCUG